CAUCUUCAUUCUUUUGCAUGUGGAUAUGCAAUUGUGUCAGAACCGUUUGUUCUGAACUGAAUGGUGUUGGUACAUUAACAAUGAAAAAAAAAUCCCUGCACUUUCUAGUCUUUCAAUUGUAAAUAUUGACUUAUUCUGAAUAUAUCUCAAUGAAACUGAAAUAUGUGAUUCAUAUGCUGCUUCAAAACCACUUUACUCCUUAACAUAUUAUUUUGCCUUUGCAAUAUAAUAGCAAUUUUAUAUAAUACAUAUAGAUAGGAUUGUUUUGAUAGUGACAAAUUCAGAAUCAGUAAGUCACAUUUAUAAAGGAAAGAUAAGUGAAUAGUGAUGGAAUAGACUGAAGUACAUUUAUUUUUUGUAUUGUAAUUGCUUUGCUAAGUAAUCAGUUACAAAGUUUUUGAAUUAACUAUAGAAAUAUUAAAAAACUGUUCUUUUGGGGAUCAACUGAUUAAUCACAAAUUGCAUCAUUUAUCAGUUUGAUUUUUAAAAAGUUGCUGCUAAGUGGAGACAAUAAAAUAAUUUAUCUUUGUAGAUAUGAGAAAUAUUAUAAACUUAUGUGAAUUUAGAAAUAGUUUCUAAGGUAAAAAGAAAAAAUACCUACCCCUGAAUUUCAUUUUGUUAUUUAUUCAUCCAGUUUUAUGACUAUAUUAGUGGAUAAACUAGAAAAAUUAACAAACUCUAGUUUUCUUUGUGAGAAGCAGAACCAGAUGAGUCCCCCUUUGACUGUCACUAUAUGCUCGCAACUGCCAAAUAUAGUGGCGUUUUCUCAGACUUUAUUUCAGGUCGAGUUCCUGAGAUAAGAGACUCCAAAAUGGAAAUUUGUGUGUAUGACUUUACUGAGUAGUUCUCCAGGGAAUGAUCUCUAUUAGGAAAUAAGGAAGGUAAGAUUAGGCAGAGGAAGAAGUUUAACUGCUGUACUGUUACUACAAAGGCCUCAGCCAAUUUCAUAGCAAGCUCUGAAGCUGGAGCCAGGGUUUGUACUCACUUAUUAGCAAGUCCUCGGAUGUGAGAUGCAUCUGCAGAAGGGGCAUAACCUUGGACAAGGCAGCAAUCUUUGGGCAAGGACAAUUAUUUGGGGAUGGAGUUAGGUAUGAGCCAUUGGAAAGCAGUCUUUCUAGCAGCCAGGUGAAUUAGGACCUUGCUUCUGAGAAAUACCAAGCAGCAUGCCACCUCAGCAAUAUACAUUUCCAAUCCCCCUUUGCACUACUCAGAUCUAUAUAUUAACUUCAUUCUUUCUGGAAAUAUCUCCUAUAUCAUUCUUGUUUCUCAGAGAAACAUACAGAAAUAAUAUUAGUAGGAGUAACUACAGCCCUGUCACUGCCAAGUGGUUUCUGGGCCAUGAUGACACUUAUCUUCUUCCACUACUACUUUCUAUAUGCUAACAGCUCUGCUGGUGUAUUUGUCUUACCUGGCGGGGUAGUACAUAGCCUCAUCCUUAAAAGCUUUGAGCUACCAUGUAUUUGUGUUGUGUUAUAGGCUGUAGCAAGAUCUGUAAUUCUGAAAAGAAUCUGCAAUUGAGAAUGCUUCUUGGAUGAAUUUGUGAUAAUCCAUUCUUAUCCUUCAGGAUCUCUCUGGGCUUUUGUUGUAGACAAAUUCAUGAAUUAAUUGGGGAUAAAAAUGGUGGCUACUACCACCGCACCCUUUUAGAUCUUUAAGAGUUGCAUUAAUUUCUGCUAUUUUCUCCAGGAAGUGACAUUGUUUUUGGCUUCCUGACUUGACAGGUGGGCAGUUUCAAAGCUGCAGAUUGGCCUUCUGUACUAUGAGAGAACUUACCCCAUAAUCCAGGUAACAAUGUGAGGAUUCUUCCAAGCACCAAGUAUGGCUAUUUCAAUCACACAUUUGUAAAUUGAUUAUAUAUCUAUUGGGUGAGUCCUAAGACCUGGUGGUUCCACUCUGUACUGAUCCUGGCUCAGGAUUACCUUUAGUACUUGCCCACCAUUAAGUUUCCAUUGUAACUGAAAUUUGUGUUCUAGAUACUAAUGUUGACUUGGACUCUAACAGUCCUUAGGGUCUUUAAAUACUCUUAAUAGAUUUUCUCUUAGUACAUUUACCCUUUGGAGAAGACUAGGGAAAUAUUUAUCAAGUACACUUUUUUUUACAGUUUUGUAAGAUUCUUCCUAUAUGGGACUUGAAAGCUAGCUCAGAUGUAGAAAUUAAGCAAGGAAUAGUGACUUCUUUUGUGGUGGCUACACUAAGCCUUUGAUCUUUCAUCCUGCACUUAUUUUGGUCGUACAUAGUGAAAAUUACAUCUGUUGAUUUUCAUCUAUAUUUUCUCUAGAGAUGCUAUGUUCCGUUAACUGUCUGCAUGAUGCCAUACCAAUAAGGUCCCCUUGUUGCCAUUCAAAACUUCGGUGCUAUUAUGAUAAUUACGCCCAACUUGUUUAUGAAUUUUAGGUACUGUCACCUGAUUUCUGUUAUUUCAGGAAUUUAUUCCUUCCACUGCUUUCAGGUAGGCUAGUCUGGUAACAGCAUCUUUCAUAGUCAUCCCUUGUCCAAAGAGUACACAACUGAACUUCUUGACAGUACUGAUGACUUUCUCACUAGCACAUUCUUUAUUACUUUGAUAAACAAGUUUUUUCUUGAAUUUCUAAUUAUCUUGAAGAACAUAACCAUCUGAUCAGGUUUCCAGUCUUAUGUAGUUUAUCCUCUUCUCUGAGUCUUUUCAUGCAUUCUUCUGCCAUCUCCUAUGACUACACUGGCAUUUCCAAUUCACCUGUGGACCAUUACUUUGUCCAACCUUCCAAGAUCCAUCCUAGCAGCAUGCUAGCACUUUUCAGGAUGUUUACAUUUGUGUCAUGGAAGAGUGCUUCCACAUCAAUAGACUCUCCCUAAUCAGGUUUUUAGAGCCUUAUGUUCUCUCCAUGCUCCAGCACUCUCAGGAUCCAGUCCCACACAUACUCUGCCAGCUUCUUCUGGUGCAUUUUGGCUGGAUCUUUCAGUUCCUGUGAUAUAUAAUUCCUGACCUCCUUUGGAAAGUCUAGCACUCCCAUGGAUUGGUUAAUUUGUGACUUCAUUCUCUUAUUUCUGUGGUGGCCAGGAGAGGAGGGAUGGGGGAAGAGUCUAAGAAGGUGCAGCAUUGAAUAUAAGAUCUUUUUCUAUGACACUAAAGAGGUCUGCUAGCUUUCACACUCUGUCCUACAUAGGUAAUUAAUUACCCUCUGCCACUCACUGACUUCCUUUGGAGCCUCCAUGACAUUUAGCAAUCAUCAUAUUCUGACUGUAUUAAAUAAUGUAUACAAGAAAUAUGAAUAGGUCAGGUAUUUAAAUUGUAGCCAGUCUUAUACAGCUAAGACAUAAGCAGAUAACAAAAGCUCUGUUACAGUUGAGGAUUAAACCCAAAACUUGACUACUACUUAUAGAAUUUAAAUGUAAUUGAAAUCAUCUUAAUUUGAAAGGAGUGGUUGUUUAUUUCAAUGAAAUAGACUCUUGACCUAGAUAAAGUAUUGCUUCUUUGGGUUACCAUGCUUCUUCCAGCUACUUGAAAACUUAUAAAAUAUUUAUUCACUACCAUGUUGCCUCAUACAGCAUUGCUUCUGAACAUGGUAUUAUAGCAAAGUACACCAAAUAAUGAGCUUAUGCUAAUGGAGUUCACUGGUCCUGCCCUAUACUCUAUCACUUAAAAGCAGCUGGCAUUGCAUAACGUAAGAGUGGCCAACUGACGAUAUUUAUUAUGCCAUUCAGAGACAGCAUCCUGCAAAGUUGGGCUUCUGUCCUACAGGUUGUAGUAUUUGUAUUCGACUAGAUAAAUUUGACUGGAUAAAUCUAGUCAGAAUAUAUGGGUUUGGAAUCAAGGAUUGGAAGUGGGAGAGAUUCCUUUUACUGUUUCACUUAAUAAACCACUUGAACAAUUUUAUUCCCUUUCUUGAAUCUUGAUUAAUAGUGUUAUUUUGCAAGGGAUGAAUGCUUUUAUUAGGGAACAUGACAAUGGUUGACAUGAACUUUUGAAGGUAUAUGGCUCUCUGGCUAUCUGGGGCUCUCAUGUCACUGAAUCAACAAAGUAAGGAGUGAUUAAAUGAACUGGAGUGGAAGUUAGGUCUCUGCUACAUAAUGCAAGCAGGGGAAGCCAUUACUAGAACUCAAGACAUUCUUUUAUGUACCACUUAAUGUUUACAUAUUCAGUAGUAAAAUUAAUGAAAGACAAAAUGAUUUGGCAGUAUCCGCUAAUACAAAAUGUGUGCAUUUCCUAGAAUCCAGCAAUUCUACUUCUUAUUCUGUGUUGAAGUCAGUCAAGAAAUUUCCACCAUUAUGAAGACAAGUGAAAAAGUCUCUUCUUCAUUCACACAUGAAAUAUGAUAAUAUAAAAAUCUAUAUUUUCUCAGAGAUAUUCUCAAGCUUGGUUAGACUACUUAAUUUACUAAGUGAUGAAAGUAUAAUUUUAUUAUAUCAAAAUUUAUAACCUUAGUGUGGCUUAAUUUUUCAUUGCCAAUUGACAUACAUUUGUCAAUGUCAAGGAUAAACUUAUAGGAAAUUAAGUAAGGUAUGUUUUUUGAAUCUGUGAUGUACUUAUUAACAGUAGAUUAAAUCAAAAUAAUAAAAUCUGUAUUGUUUAUGAUUUAUCAGUUAUAUGAUGAGUAGUAUAUAGUCUAUUGUGGUCAGUGUGUAUAUAUAACAUAAACAAUAUAUUAAUCCAAUUUUGUGUGAAAACUAUUUUGGGACCUAGUAGCUUUCUUGGUCAUAACCUUUCAAACAAACAAAAUUUUUUAAAUUAAUUUUUUCCCUUAAUUAAGAAAACAAUUCCUCAAUGUGUGAUAGCAAAUAUCUUUUAACAGGUCAUAUAUCAUCAAUGCUUUCUUUGAAGAAAGUACUGAUACAUCCAUGAAGGCUUACAAAUCUUUUCUUUCAAGUAGCUCACCCUCUGAUCAUUAUUCUAUUGUUUGAUAUCUAUUCUCUAGCAUUUAUCCAUGACACAUAUUAUUUGAUUGUAUUUAAUAGUUUAUUGGCAAAUACUUUUGGUUUCCUUAUAACUUUUUUCCCAUUGCAUUUUCAUUGCAAAACCUGUACCUUGUUUAAAUUCAGUAGUUCACUUUUAUUGAGCCUACCAACAAGCAACAAAACAUGGUUGGAGAAAAACACAUUAUGAUAACUGGUCAUACCUUAAUUUAUGACCAAGAGUAAGUGGUCAUUCAGCAUCUUAUGGCAAUCCUACCACAGAUCUUUAUUUCCUUCCCAGUUUUUAAGAUGCUUUAUGUUUAAACAUUCAUUCCUUGCCACAAAAUUCUAAUGAGUGUCUUGCCUUCCUCAGUCUCAGCUGAUGACUCUGCUUUAUAGUAUAGAAAAAAGGUAAACCACUUUUUCAUACAACAAUAUCUACUCUUCUAUCUUCAUGAGAACUCAUGUAUUUUGCUGAGGUAGUUAGCCCCCAAAGAUGACCCUCAAUAAUUCCACCUAUUGGCCUUAUACAUCACUGUGUAAGCCCUGCUCAAAUUGUACCAGGGAUGUUCUGUGUGACCCAUAGAAUACACGAGUAGUGGUAUGUCACUUAUAAGAUCAAAUCAUGAAAGUUAUUACUUUCCUCCCACUGUCUUUCUCUCUCUCUUUCUCCAGUUUUCUAGAAGAAGCCAGAUCAUGGGCAGUCUUAUGGGAUGACCCACAAGGCUUCCUGGCUUGUGAUGAAAUGGGCUGCUGUGAAGUUUUGUGGUCAUUAAAGUCUCAGCAUUGUAAUAUUCUAAGCACAUGUGCCAGAAGGUGCCAGAAGACAUUUUCCCCGAAGAUAAGCUUCACACUCUCAGGCGGGGGAAACUUGACUGGAAGCAAUCAAACUCCAAAUGGUGCUGCAAACAGAACCACACAUGGACACACCAUUCUUCUGAAGACCCUUAUAUCAACUCCAGGAGAAACCCUAGCUGUUCUUCACUCAAUACCCCUUUUCAGCAGGAAAUGAUGAACUUCGGGUAUUUCCCCAGGCAACAAAGCCACUUCAAUAGGUGGAAGGAACUCAUUUGCAGAUAUACAUUCAUACUUUGAGGCGGCUGGCAAGAUGGCGGAAUAGGAACAGCUUUGGUCUGCAGCUCCCAGCAAGAUCAACCCAGAAGGCGGGUGAUUUCUGCAUUUCCAACUGAGGGGAAGAAUCACAGAAUGGUUACUUACCUCCACAAAGGAGUUCAGAAGCUUAUAUACCAUCCUGGCUAACAGGUUAUGGAAAGGGGAAGAAGAGGAAUUCUGUUGGGGGGCAAUAAGUGAUUACUAGGAAGAAUGAAUGAAUUGGGAAGCAGAGAUUAAUUGUACAUGAAUCACUCCUACUAAGAGAUCCUGAAAGAGGUCAUCAAAGCCACCAGAAACUAUUCCUGGACAGAGGAGGUUUUAUAGGUGUGGUUGGUCUCCUUACUGACAUGUCAACUACAAAUGCACGGGGUUCUGCCUGAAAUGUUUUAGUUGUUGCAGAUGUGUAGCUUCUAUAUGUAAAGUCUUCACUGCAUGUGCUACAGAAACUUGAACUAUCUGAAGAGAGGAUGGAGUCAUCAGAUACUGGGAACAAGAAAACUAAGCAAUAAGUGAGAAAAGAAAUGAUGGAAUAGAUGUGAGGCUUCCACAGCAAACUCCUAUAAAACCUGGAGUUAAACCUGAGCAAGAGGAAUGUGACAUAUGUGUCUUUGCUCUUUAUUUGGAUCUGUGUGUAUGCUCUUGGAGCAGUGGUGAAGAGGCUCCAGGUAAGGUAUAGAGUUCUUUAUUUUUCACCAAGCUAAGAUUUUUAAUGAAAGAAUAUCCAAAAUGCUUGCUAUGAAAGAUUCAACUGAUUUUUGUAGUUCUACAUUCUUGGGUAGGAGAAGAUAAAAAAUGCAGUUAUUACAACUAUAUUAUCAGCCUCUUCUAACCUUUUCUUUAAAGAGGUGGGUAUUUAUAUUUCUAAUAAAUAAAAAUGUUUGUCUCAAAUAAAUAAAAUAAACAAUGUUAUUUUACAUAUGGACUACA